rnacentral:rRNA from 1 species
UUUGAUCAUGGCUCAGAUUGAACGCUGGCGGCAGGCCUAACACAUGCAAGUCGAGCGGUAGCACAAGAGAGCUUGCUCUCUGGGUGACGAGCGGCGGACGGGUGAGUAAUGUCUGGGAAACUGCCUGAUGGCGGGGGAUAACUAGUGGAAACGGUAGCUAAUACCGCAUAACGUCGCAAGACCAAAGUGGGGGACCUUCGGGCCUCACGCCAUCAGAUGUGCCCAGGUGGGAUUAGCUGGUAGGUGGGGUAACGGCUCACCUAGGCGACGAUCCCUAGCUGGUCUGAGAGGAUGACCAGCCACACUGGAACUGAGACACGGUCCAGACUCCUACGGGAGGCAGCAGUGGGGAAUAUUGCACAAUGGGCGCAAGCCUGAUGCAGCCAUGCCGCGUGUGUGAAGAAGGCCUUCGGGUUGUAAAGCACUUU